UAGGGAAUAUUGGACAAUGGGGGAAACCCUGAUCCAGCGAUGCCGCGUGGAUGAUGAAGGCCUUCGGGUCGUAAAGUCCUUUUCUGAGGGAAGAACUGUUUGGCGAGGAAAUGCGCCGGAUUUGACGGUACCUCAGGAAUAAGCAACGGCUAACUCCGUGCCAGCAGCCGCGGUAAUACGGAGGUUGCAAGCGUUGUUCGGAUUAACUGGGCGUAAAGGGAGCGCAGGCGGCUUGGUAAGUCUAAAGUGA
rnacentral:rRNA from 1 species